CCACAGUCCUUCCUCCCUGGUCCUCAAAAUGUCAAAUGCAACUGUUUCUCUUUGCUGUUCUGCACCACAUGCAUGAUACUACUCGGGAAUGUGAGCAGCCAGAGCACAUCAGUCACGUCUGCGUGGCCCGUCUGCCUUGCGGCGAUGCAUCAUGCUGCGGUUUUACAAAGGAAGUCAGCCAACAGCACAAACUGGAACUGCUCCACUAUUUGAAGAGUUUUUGUUUGUAUCUUUGACUGGUGGCUUUUUUGCAACUGAAUAAAC
ensembl:lncRNA